rnacentral:rRNA from 1 species
GACGAACGCUGGCGGCGUGCUUAACACAUGCAAGUCGAACGGUAAGGCUCCAGCUUGCUGGGGUACACGAGUGGCGAACGGGUGAGUAACACGUGGGUGACAUGCCCUGCACUUCGGGAUAAGCCUGGGAAAAUGGGUCUAAUACCGGAUAGGACCGCACCGAGAGGGUGUGGUGGUAAGUUUUUUCGGUGUGGGAUGGGCCCGUGGCCUAUCAGCUUGUUGGUGGGGUAAUCGCCUACCAAGGCGGCGACGGGUAGCCGGCCUGAGAGGGUGGACGGGCACAUUGGGACUGAGGCACGGCCCAGACUCCUACCGGAGGCAGCAGGGGGGAAUAUUGCAGAAUGGGCGGAAGCCUGAUGCAGCGACGCCGCGUGGGGGAUGACGGCCUUCGGGUUGUAAACUCCUUUCACCAUAGACGAAGGGUUUCUGACGGUAGAUGGAGAAGAAGCACCGGCUAACUACGUG